UACGUAGGUGGCAAGCGUUAUCCGGAAUUAUUGGGCGUAAAGAGCGCGCAGGUGGUUAAUUAAGUCUGAUGUGAAAGCCCACGGCUUGACCGUGGAGGGUCAUUGGAAACUGGUUGACUUGAGUGCAGAAGAGGGAAGUGGAAUUCCAUGUGUAGCGGUGAAAUGCGUAGAGAUAUGGAGGAACACCAGUGGCGAAGGCGGCUUCCUGGUCUGCAACUGACACUGAGGCGCGAAAGCGUGGGGAGCAAACAGG
rnacentral:rRNA from 1 species